UCUGGUACUAGAAUAAGAAAUCCAACCAGACAGAGGAAAGGGGAGCUCUAGUCAGGAUACACAGCUCGUGACUGGCACCAAUUUAGCCAUCAAGCACUCUUAGCUCUACUUGUGCCAGGAUGUGGAAGGCCAGCUGCUGCCCAAGUGCCUGAGAAAAAGCCCAAGGAAAAAAACCGAGCACACUGUACAGUGGGGGUGGGGGCAACAAGUCAGGCUCACAGGACAAACAGCCCAAGGAACCCCUACCAGCCAAGUGCCACCCCAGAGCUUCCCUCAGGUUUUAUAACUGAAAACUACUUCAGCAUCCAGAAUGCAUCACUAGGAAGCUGCUGAUGACUUCAGCAGAGCAUCCAUGUGCAUGUGAUCCUCACAUUCCAGUGUGAUAAAAACUGUUGGGAGCCGAGGAUGCCCUGAGUGAAUGCAUAUUACUGAACAAAGACAGUGCCUCAGACCCAUGGGAACUGGCAAAGCCUUCCUCCUGUCUAUGUGCGAAUGUUGACACAGGGUACAAAAAGCAUGACUGUAGCUUGUUUACAGCCUGAGACUGUGCCCCUACAGAGACCUCCCACAGAGACUGGCUAUCCCCGCUUUCAUCAACUAUAAAUAAUAAAGGGGUAUUUGAUGCCCCAGCGCA